rnacentral:rRNA from 1 species
AUUGAACGCUGGCGGCAUGCCUUACACAUGCAAGUCGAACGGCAGCACGGGUGCUUGCACCUGGUGGCGAGUGGCGAACGGGUGAGUAAUACAUCGGAACAUGUCCUGUAGUGGGGGAUAGCCCAGCGAAAGCCGGAUUAAUACCGCAUACGAUCUACGGAUGAAAGCGGGGGACCUUCGGGCCUCGCGCUAUAGGGUUGGCCGAUGGCUGAUUAGCUAGUUGGUGGGGUAAGGGCCUACCAAGGCGACGAUCAGUAGCUGGUCUGAGAGGACGACCAGCCACACUGGGACUGAGACACGGCCCAGACUCCUACGGGAGGCAGCAGUGGGGAAUUUUGGACAAUGGGCGAAAGCCUGAUCCAGCAAUGCCGCGUGUGUGAAGAAGGCCUUCGGGUUGUAAAGCACUUUUGUCCGGAAAGAAAUCCUUGGCUCUAAUACAGUCGGGGGAUGACGGUACCGGAAGAAUAAGCACCGGCUAACUACGUG